GGGAAAUGGGAUAGUGUGACUGAACUUAGGGAGAAGAUGAAGUUAAGAGGGGUACUCAAAGACACUGGCUGCAGCUGGGUUGGUACCGAGAGUGGUUUAUGAAGUUUCAUGUUGGAAAAUACCUUUGUAAAUCAAUGUUUAGGUAAAAAUACCUUUAUAAAAACCACUCAUCCUGAUUUCCCCAUCACUCUUUGGAGAGUUCAUCUGUUUCAGAUGAGGACUUGAAUGCAUCAGUCUCGCUGAGCUUCGUGAUGAAAUUUGUUGGAAUUAUCAGGAUGAGUGGUUUUUAUAAUUUUUAGUGGGCAAGAUGCUCACUAGAUUGUUGAUUAAUUGGCGGAGCUUAAGCUGUUGUCAUAGAUGAAAGCCACACGGGAUAAUUUGCAAUUCUUGUUAAUCCUAUGCUCUGAGG
rnacentral:lncRNA from 1 species